rnacentral:piRNA from 2 species
UGCCAAGAGAGAUUCAUCAGUUUGAGGGGU